UUGUUAGCCUGGCAGUGCAUUGAAGAAAAAAAAAUGUUUAUGCAAAAAGGGACCUGUGUACAUGUGGUCUAAGAUCAAUUAUUGGUCAACUUCUUAGGGGAGAAUCAUCGGUGCCUGUAAUUUAUCAAUUUUAUGCCGUGGAAACUAUCCUCGUAUCGGGGAACCUAUUUCGGUGGAGGCACAGAUGGUGUUUUGGCAGUUGCUGUUUACUUCGACAACCCCCUACGAAGAAUUUGAAACACGGGGACCGCUUUAGCCCAUGCACUGGAGAAGUUCUAGGAAUGCAGUGUUUGUGCAUUCCCGUCAUUUAAGGGCAGUAUUGUUUUGGUCAUUAUAACAAAACAAAUAAUGUUUUAAUGUUUACAUAUUUGGACAUAUGUUUGGAGCAGCUUUUAAAUCAUUAUUUUAUUCAUACGUCAUUAUGGUUAAGCUGCAUGCCUUUAUAAAAUACAGGCUAACUGGCGGUGCAACAGGGCAAAUCAUUUUCAUAAUUUUAUAUUUAUUUACCAUACGUACCUGUUACACUUCAUGGGUUCUCCUUAUGAUUUGUCUUUCUGAUGUUCAGUAAAUACAUAGUAUGGAAAUAAUAGUAUUUAUGUCGAAACUGUUUUCCAUUUAAUUAUUUAACCUGUAUCGUUUCCCCCAUUACGAUACCCCCUUUUCAUGGAGAGAAUUAUCAGUUGUCUCGGCGAAUGAAAUCUCACUUGCGUACUUAAUCUACAUGCAUUACAGUCAUUCACUCAUUGUUCCAUUUGAAUAUUCUGCAGCUGCAUCAAAAUUGUGAAUUUUAUAUGACUGUUCGAUUCUGCAAUUUUACCCAUCCUGUUUACAUUACUGGAGUUAAUAACUUGCCUGAUCGUGGAACCUGUUUACGCAUAAUUUAUGGUAUCCUGGUUGGUUUAGCGAAUUAUUGUUUACACUUGAAAUAUUGGUUUGUUUACAAACACAUGCACAUGUUGAAUCAAUUCAGCAGAUGAAACUUUCUCAGAUGGUAUAGGCCUAUCUAUGAUAAUUACUGAAUUAGACAUUUCUAUACAGUGUGCCAUUUAUAAUCGUUCCAUCAUUAGAACAUUGGUUUUUUUUUUAACUUAUGGGAAAUAUAUGUUGUGUCAUUGUGAUUUGAAUGCAUUUCAAUCUUCUGCAUUAUUCAGUAUGCACAUCUGAGAAAAUAAGAUAAACAGAGUGCAAUAGAUUAUCUACACUAAAUGUGUCAAAGGGGUUAUCGCUCAAUUAACCUGUCCGCUGAUCUACACAUGUUUGUAUGUUUGGUUUUUUUUUAUGAAUCUGUGUUCAAGGUCAACUGGGUCACCACGUGAUGUCAGCUGCAGUAUCGUUGAUUGUACUCUGGCCUCACCAGGGGGUUCUCGGGGAGUCUCUCCUAUCCUCUCUGAUCCUGGCUUUGGAUGGAGUCCACCUGCAGUAAACUUCAUUCUUUGUCCAGCCUGUGAGGAAUGUUCUUUUGCUUGUGCAUUUUAUCAUCUUUUCAAAGAAAUAAGACCAGUACACUAUUUUUGUUCUACAUUAUUAUUUUUAUAUAGCCUUAAUUAAAUUAUGCUCAGCUCAGAGCUAUAUAAAAAUUUGUGUACUGCUCCUUACAAUACUUUGCAUAUCCAGUUAACAAUUUAAAGAAUGUUUAACACAGUUUCUCUAAUGAUGCAAAGAUAUCAAUGAAGUUGAUAAUCAUUUUUUGCAGCAUUAGAAACAGGAAACAUUUGGUAAUUGCCAUAUAUCUGAAGACAUGUUAAGUUUAUUUACUAGCUGCCUUACAUAUAAUUCUUAAGAGGCAUUAUUAUCCCUAUAAGGAAGACUCUGCAAUUUUAAAAUGUAUUUUUAUGUUCAGCAAAAUCCUUAGUGGGUUUUGCAACAUUAAAUAUAUCGUUUCUUUUUAUUCUAUAAGUAAAAAUACUGGGAGAAAAAUGGUUCAGAAAAAAAAAAAAAAAAAAAAAAAAAAAUAAAUAAAAAAAAAAUAAAAAUUAAAUAAAUAAAUAAAUAAUAAUAAUAAUAAUAAAAAAAAAUCUGAAUCAGGGAAAUGUUUUAAUAUUGCAAUCAAUGUCAAUUAUAUUUUCAAUAUAUUGUUUCACUUGUACAAUGUGCAGUAGAAACUUUGGUAAUGUUUUCUAUAUUUCUUUUAAAAUAUUCUAACAGUACUAUUUUCAAUAGUAUUAUAGUAUCAAAAAAAACACACAAAAAAAAAAGAAAAAAAAAAAGAAUUUAGUAUGAACAUUAAGAAUAUGUUCAAGAUACCUGUGAAAACAUUCAAUAUAUUGUUGCAAUAUUGGUGGAAACAUUCAGUAUAAUUUCGAUUAGUUUUGUUUUGUUUUUGUGAAUGUUUAAGGUUUUGAUGGAAACAUUCAGUGUAAUGAUUAAAAGUUUUCCUGGAAAUUAAGUAUUUUAUAUCAAAACUUUGGGAACACAUUCAGUUCAAUGUACCAUUGUUUUGUGCAAACAUUCAGUAUAAUGUUUAAAAGUUUUUUGAAGAUACAUUCAGUAUGCUUCAUUGUCUUUGUGACAACAUUCAUUGUAAAUAAUAUUUCAAAGUUUUUGUCUUAAACAUUCAGUAUAAUGUUUCAAAGUUUGUGUCAAAACGUUCAUUAUGAUAUUUCAAGUUUUGUGGAAACAUUAAGUACAAUGUUUCAAGUUUUUGUGGAAACAUUCAGUAUAAUGUUUCAAGUUUUUUUGUGUAAGCAUUUAGUUUAAUGUUUCAAGUUUUUGUGGAAGCAUUCAGUAUAAAGUUUCAAAGUUGAUGUUUAAGUUAAAACAUUCAGUUUAUGUGUCAAGUUUGUUUUGGAAACAUUCAGUAACAUUCAGUUUAAUGUUUUGAGUUUUUGUGGAAACAUUCAGUAUAAUGUUUUUGAUUUUUUGUGGAAAAAUUCAGUAUAUUGUUACAAAUGUAAUGUGUAAGCAUUCAGUAUAAAGUUUCAAGUUUGUUUUGGAAACAUUUAAUAGAAUGUUUCAAAGUUUUUGUGAAAAAUAUUCAGUAUCAUGUCUCAGUCAUGUAUUAGUGUUUGUGGAAACAUUCAGUACAAUGUGUCAAAGUUUAUGUUUAAACAGUCAGUAUAAUGUUUAAGUUCUGUUUUGGAAACAUUCAGUACAAUGUGUCAAAGUUUAUGUUGAAACAGUUAGUAUAAUGAAUGAAUUCUGUUGGAAACAUUCAGUAUAAUGUUUCAAGUUUUUAUGGAAACAUUCAGUAUAAUGUUUCGAAGGUUUUUUGGAAACAUUCAGUAUAACGUUUCAAAGGUUUUUGUGGAAACAUUCAGUAUAAGGUUUCAAGUCUUUGUUUAAACAUUCAAUAUAAUGUUUCAAAGUUUUGUGGAAGCAUUCAGUAUAAUGUUUCAAGCUUUGAUGGAAACAUGCAGUUUGAUGUUUCAAAGUUUUUGUGGAAACAUUAAAUAUAAUGUUUCAAAGGUUUUGUGAAAACAUUCAGUAUAAUGCUUCAAACUUUUUAUGGAAACAUUUAGUAUAAUGUUUCAAAGGUUUUAUGGAAGCAUUAAGUAUAAUGUUUCAAGUUUUGAUGGAAACAUGCAGUUUGAUGUUUCAAAGUUUUGUGGAGACAUUCAGUAUAAUGUUUCAAAGGUUUUGUGAAAACAUUCAGUAUAAUGUUUCAAAUGUUUUAUGGAAACAUUCUGUAUAAUGUUUCAAAGGUUUUGUGAAAACAUUCAGUAUAAUGUUUCAAACUUUUUAUGGAAACAUUCAGUAUAAUGUUUCAAAGGUUUUGUGGAAACAUUCAGUAUAAUGUUUCAAGUUUUGAUGGAAACAUGCAGUUUGAUGUUUCAAAGUUUUGUGGAGACAUUCAGUAUAAUGUUUCAAAGGUUUUGUGGAAACAUUCAGUAUAAUGUUUCAAGUCUUUGAGGAAACAUUCUGUAUAAUGUUUCAAAGGUUUUGUGGAAACAUUCAGUAUAAUGUUUCAAGUCUUUGAGGAAACAUUCAGUAUAAUGUUUCAAAGGUUUUGUGGAAACAUUCAGUAUAAUGUUUCAAAGGUUUUGUGGAAACAUUCAGUAUAAUGUUUCAAACGUUUUGUGGAAACAUUCAGUAUAAUGUUUCAAAGUCACGUAUUAGUGAUUGUGGAAACAUUCAGUAUAAUGUUUCAUAGUUUGGUAUAAUGUUUAAAGUUUGUUGUAGAAACAUUCAGUAUAAUGCUUCAAAUUUUUUAUGGAAACAUUUAGUGAAUCUUUCAAUGGUUUUGUGGAAACAAUCAGUAUAUAGUUUCAAAAGGAUUUUGGAAACAUUCAGUAUAAUGUUUCAUAGUGUUUGUGGAAACAUUUAGUAUAAUGUUAAUUAUAUCAGUAGAAACAUUUUGUUUCAUAUUUCAAUUUGAUGAGGAAAGAACUUUCAGUAUUAUGAGAAACUUAAAUAGAUAUUUCAAUAAUUCUUUUCAUGCUGUACAUGUAGCAUGUCAUCAAGUCUGUUCUGAAAAGUUCAAUGUAAAUUGUUUCUCAUUGUGUUUGGGUUCCAGCAUCUAAAUAUUCGUAGGCUUUAGUAGUGCAUUACACUCGUACACUAUUUACCAUGGUAUUCUGUUACUUGUAGCAGUACACCGAUGCCAAGGGCCAACCUGAACUAUAAAGGGAUCAACACCUAACCUCAGUACCAACCAAGGCACAUAAUGGAGAGGCAAUGUACCCUACAAAUUUCAGUUCAGAUGGCGGAAAUUGUGCAUUAUUGGAACUUCAUCCCAGCUUCAAAAUUGAAAACGUGAAAAUUAAAACCGUGAAAUUAAUCCCCUAUACAGUAUUCUGGACAUGAUGUCAGCUUCAUAGUAAACUGUUGGAAAAUGAUGCCACCAAAGAUUGAAACCCACACCAUCAGGAAGGGCAAGCUACACACUUAAAAUGCUCAAGCUCAUCUUAUGGAUUCUAUGUUGAUAUCUGUGUUGAAUGGCAAAUAUCAUUUUCUCCAACAUGUACUGCCAAGGAACAUCAUAUACAGUAAAUCUCGGUUAUAAUGAAGUCGCUGGGAUGCAUGAAGUUACUUCGCUAUAUCCGUAAUUUGUAAUAACCGUACAAGAAAUUUAUAAAAUUUAUACAGCCUGGAUCCAAAUUGAAUUCGCUAUAUCCGUGAAUUCGCAUUAUCCGUGUUCGUACUAAACGAGUUUCACUGUAUAGAGUAGUUAGCACCUGUCAUUCAUUUAAUGUGUAAAAUAAGAUUUUGCAAUGUAUUAGCUUCUUAUGUAACAUUAAUUGUUCUAUCAUUAAUUUUGUAAAUCUGGUCAGUAGUCCAGUAAAGUGUUUAUCAAAUAUUCCACAAUGUACAUCCUCUAUAGGCAUCAACUCUGUAUAACUCAGCUCAAUUUUAAUGUCUUCAUAAUCGGCUUUCUAAUAUCAAUGAGUUCAGCAUUGAAACUUGCCUGCAUAGUCUUUGAGCUACAUGUAAGAUGACGGCUACUCAUUUAAAUUGUAUGUUGAAAUCUGCCGGCAUAGACUUGUGUUAAGAUACAUAGUUCAGCAGAGAGCUGCUUAUGUAAAUUGUGCUUCAAAAUCUGCUUGCAUAGUCUUGAGUUAAGAUACAUUAGUUCAGCGGAUAGCUGCUCAUGUGAAUUGUGCUGAAAACUCUGCUUGCAUAGUCUUGAGUUAAGACACGAGUUCAGAGGAUAGCUCCUCUUGUAAAUUGUUUGUUACAAUCUGCUUGCAUAGUCGAGAGUUAAGAUACAUGACUUCAGCGGAUAGCUGCUCAUGUAAAUUGUAUAAUAAAAUGUGGCUUGCAUAGUCUUGAGUUAAGAUACAUGGCUUCAGCGCAUUGCUGCUCAUGUAAAUUGUGUGUUAAAAUCUGCUUGCAUAGUCUUAGUUCAAGAUACAUGAAUUCAGCGGAUAGCUGCUCAUGUAAAUUGAAUGUUAAAAACUCUGCCUGCAUUGUCUUGAGGUUAGAUGAAGACCUACCUAAUUUUACAUUUAUACUAAACAUUCCUUGCAGUGAUUUUGGCUUCUUUUGAUCCACAAUUUAACAGCUAACAGGUGAAUGUUAAUGUCUUUGUUGCAUCAGUACUUGUUAUUUGUCAAGAACACCUAGUCUAAAAUGUAUGUGAUAUCAUAUGAACUUCAACUUCAAUGUUGUUUUAUAUAUUUAAAAAAAAAAAUACUUCAAAAAAUGCUGUAAAUUUCAGUAUUUUUACUAUUUUUAUAAAAAUGUUUUCUUUUGAUUUUUCUCCUUGUUUGGCGUCAACCCCUCACUGCGUGACACUGCGUGAGGGCUUGUGGCGCAAUUGUUUGGACGCCUCCAAGGAUUUACUCAUUUAUGUUAUAUUUUAUGCAUAUUUACAUGUACUCUGAUAUGUUCACUGCAUGUAAAUUUCUAGUCAGUCUCAGGGGGAUCACAGUUGUACCUUUCACCUGUGUACAUGUAACCUGUAUUGUUUAAUAUUAGAUGAUCCCCCUUCAUGAUUUGUUAUACAUUUUACCAUAUGUCAUUAAAUAAAAUGACAUAUUCGACAAAACUGCAUAUCUGUGUUUGGUUGUUUUUUCACUGCACUUUCAGGCUGAUAUUUCUCAUAGGAGGCAUAAAACAAUAUUAUCACAGAUAAUUCAAUUUAUGCCGCUAUGAGAAAUAUAUUACAUUUUACACCUAAGGAUAAUUCUGCAUAUCCCUGCGCAGUCUGCAGGAUAUGCGCCCUUAUCGCAGCGCAAUUAUCAUAGAACCUUUUAUUGCGAAAUCGCACCUUAUUUUGCUUGACAGAGUUAUCCAAUCAAAAUCCUUGAUUUUGUUGCGCCAUUUUUGUUAGCCUGGCAGUGCAUUGAAGAAAAAAACCCACCACCCACCCUUUUGCCUUUUUGUGGUUUAUGGUUUUAUAUUAUUUUGCAUUUUAGUCCAGAUUUGUAUUUUCCUAACUAACUUGUCAUAUGUUUCUUGAUUGGCGCAAUUGUUUGGACGCCUCCAAGGAUUUACUCAUUUAUGUUAUAUUUUAUGCAUAUUUACAUGUACUCUGAUAUGUUCACUGCAUGUAAAUUUCUAGUCAGUCUCAGGGGGAUCACAGUUGUACCUUUCACCUGUGUACAUGUAACCUGUAUUGUUUAAUAUUAGAUGAUCCCCCUUCAUGAUUUGUUAUACAUUUUACCAUAUGUCAUUAAAUAAAAUGACAUAUUCGACAAAACUGCA